CUUCAGCUAAGACUGAAAGAUAAAUCCUUGGUUUGAAAGAUAAAUGCCUUCAGCAGGCAUUGCCUUGGGCAUCAGAUCUUGGCAUCCUUGAGUCUAUAUACUGGGUCAUGGCUGGUCAGCAAUGAGGGAAGGUUAAAGACUCUGGAAGUCCGUUUUGGAUCUGUCAAAAAAUUUUAUUCGGAUUGGAAAUACUUUGAAGUUGUUCAUGGGACAAGAAAAUCACUUCCUAUACAGUCUUAAUUCCUGCUGCCAUGGGGUGCUAGGGCACCUGUAGUUGUCACCCAUGUGCAUAGAAGGAAGCAAUGGCCAUGAUCUUUGAGGGUGAUCAGCCCGUCUUCGAAUACUUGCAAGUGACCCUCAUCUUCACAAAUAAUGAAAUAAAAGCCUC